rnacentral:rRNA from 1 species
CCUACGGGUGGCAGCAGUGGGGAAUCUUGCGCAAUGGGCGAAAGCCUGACGCAGCGACGCCGCGUGAGUGACGAAGGCCUUCGGGUUGUAAAGCUCUGUGGGGAAGAACGAACUGGCAUUCGGUGAACAUCCGGGUGUCUUGACGGUACUUCUUUAGCAAGCACCGGCUAACUCUGUGCCAGCAGCCGCGGUAAGACAGAGGGUGCAAACGUUGCUCGGAUUUACUGGGCGUAAAGCGCAAGUAGGCGGUCUCGUUAGUCGGGUGUGAAAACCCAGGGCUCAACCCUGGCAGUGCACACGAUACUGCGAGACUGGGGUACUGAAGAGGAGAGCGGAAUUCUCGGUGUAGAGGUGAAAUUCGUAGAUAUCGGGAGGAACACCAGUGGCGAAGGCGGCUCUCUGGGCAGAUACCGACGCUGAGAUGCGAAAGCGUGGGAAGCAAACAGGAUUAGAUACCCCGGUAGUC